CCAAUAGGGGGCUUCGGCCCCACUAGGAGAUGCAACCCUUGCCUUUUUCAAGCACCUAUUCGUUUCCUCGGCGGUUUUCGGCCGCCAAUGGGGACCCCUCGAAACCCUUCUGCAAUGAGAAGUCAACCGUCUGAUAGCAAUCUAAAACGUUA
rnacentral:misc_RNA from 1 species